ensembl:lncRNA
CUAUACAUACGUCUGAAAAGGAUUUAAAAACGCAUCUGAGUCAGGCAGCCCACAAAACAUAUUUCUCUGCUGUGAGUUUGGAUGCCCAUGAUUAUCUUCAGGAACAUGGUGGUGACAGAACAGAUGUCAGGCAUGGGCAGGCUGGAAAGGAAAAAUUGCAUGGAGGUUUGGAGGUGGAAAGCAGUGAUGACAGCCCUGGUGAUAAGUAGAUUCCCAUACAGCAUGACCAGACACAUGGACAGAAAGAGUGCAGAGAGUAUUGGCUGCAGGCCUGGGUAUUGGAGAGUCCCAGGUUAUGGAAUUCCAAUAACUGUAGAGGAUGUUGUGCUUCUGUGGUGCUUUUGAAAGAGAAAAUGAGAUGGGAAAAUGAAAAAAAAAAUAGUUGUCUUCAGCACUCUUAUAAGGGAGAUAAAGAGAGAUCUGGGGAGAAUGAACCACAAAUACUCUGCAGGCUUAGGUUCCAUUUUUUAGGGUUUGUAUAGCAUUUCCAUACCUAAGGAGAGGCUCUGUUGAGGGCAGGGCCCUGUGGAAGGCUGAGAAGACUUCUUAGAGUAACACAGGCCCAUGAGAUGAGUGGAUAAAGGGGAGAGGCCUGGAACAGAGAGUAAUGCCAAAAGCUAUGCCAAAGAAGGACUCAGAAAGAUUCAGUGAGGGACCUGUCCAUGGUCAAGGCCAGCAUACCUGGAUGCUCAACAAACAAAGGCCUCAUUGGAUUGGCUGACAGGAUUCUUUUUUGCCCAGGAAGGAGAUAUGAAUACUCUUCUAAAGAAUGUCUUUGUUAUGUUUAUACUGAUCAUUUUAGCAAUGUAGUCAUUUUUUUCAUAUAAAAUCCCUAAACUGGAAGUCACUCUCCCAAACCCUUCAGAUCCUCAUCCAGGUUUAUUUGCCUGGAGGCUUUUUGCUUUCAUUUUACAAUAAGCUGCUUUUUGUGUACAAUAAAAUAUUUUUGCUCAGUCCUCUUUCGACUCUAUAUUUUGUAAUUCUUUCUGGGUUGAGAGAUGGACUCAACUGCUGGACAGUAACUCUGGACUCACAUAUUUUCCUUUUGGCUUAUUUUUAAUGGAGUUUGAUAUAUUGCCCAGACUGCCCUGCAAGAUUAGUUGGCACAAGUGAGUCUUCUAUCUCAACCUCUAGAGAGCUGGAAUUACAAGUGUGGUCCACCACACAUACCCUUCUGUAUAUAUUUUUCAUACAAUAUCCACAAAUCAAAUAUUUAUACUUGAGGUCUAUACACCUUCAGCAAUACUUCUCAGUUGUGAAAAGCAAUUUCUUCUUGGAACUCUUUCAUUAUUGAUUUCUGUAUUUUCUUCCUCCCGUACCUAUCAGAUUUACACUCAACAAUGUCUAAUGACAAAGAACAUUAGAAAUAACCCCCAUUCACAUAAAGUACAGCUUAUUGUUUGCAGAAGAAAAGGGGGACAAAACACUCCUUCCCCUUUUAUGGAAAAAUCUUUCUAAUGAAAGGAAAUUAAGAAGAAAAUCAUCUUUUUGCAUUCUGAUAAUGGUACAGAUUAAUCUAAAGCAGAAAGUAUUUUAAAAGUCAGGUUGCAAAAUCUGGAGAUUAAGUUAAAGUUAAAAAUUUAUAAUUGGGACACAUGCUUAUACAGCACUUACUAUCCAAGGGUUUUAUAAUUCUUAUAUUUUCCUGUUUCCCUUAUUCAAGGAUGUAAUUGCUCAGUCACAGAUUCUUUAUCUUUUUAAAAUCAUUCAGUACAUAACUCCUAUUAUCCUGGGCUUCAGUGGACUUUAAAUUUAAAGAACUUUAGUUAAAUUAAUUACACUUCAUUAAUGAUAUCAUAGGCCAGAAAUAUGACAUUAGUCUACACUGUACCUGUCAAUGACUAGAAAGCAAUGAAAUGAUAAUAAAUAGUUUUAAAUUUUAUUUCAUUUUUAUGAUUUUAUUUGUAUCAACCCUAUAAAUAUCUGAUGAGGAAUAUUUUUCUUCUUAUUUUAGGAAGGAGAGGGAACAACCUUAUCCUAUAGUGAUCUGAUAACAGUCCAUCCUUCAUUAUUUUUCUGAAUAUUGUUCCUCCAAAUGAACAUACAUUGUACAUAGUGUAUUGCAAACAUAUACUGACAAAAAUAUAGUACAGUCUACACCUGAUCUACUGUUUGAUUUGUAAUAAACAUUAUGUGAGUAUAAUUUCUGGAGGAAGUGUAGCAAAAAGGAUCAUUAAAUAUGAUUUAACAAUGCCUCAAAUUUGCAGAAAAUGUAAAAAGCUUAGUGAGCUUGCAUUAAAUUCAUUUUCCCUUUUUUGAACACUAUUGAGUAUAGUUUGAAAUAUAUAAAUAUAUAAUGUUAAAUAUGGUUAAAUAAAGCUCUUGCUAACUUAGACAUGAGGGAAACCCUUGUAUUUAGAGAUAAGCACUUUAUCACCAGAACUUCCAAAGCCCAGGCUUCAGUGCCAACCUUUAUGUGAUAUCUUUGUAGAUCUCCACAUCAACCUUCUGGAUACAUGGAUUGCAAUUAUUUUAUUUCAACUACCAAAAUACAACUGUGAUUCAUUGUUCUGUCAGGUCUCACUAUGAUUUAACAAGGAAUAAAGCAAUGACAAACAAAAUAAGAAGAGAAACUAUUUUAAACACACAUGUAUAAAUGUAUCAUAUGGAAAUUUGUAUAAUAAUUGUCUAACAUAGGAUUUGAGGGAGAAAUUCAUUUUUCAAACUAUUAAAUUUAACUGGUGAUUCUCAAUCUCAUGACUCAAUAUAAUUACCUGUCUAGUUUAAACUCUUUAGGUAACCGUGCCUCAGAUCCAAAACAAUGAGGAAUUCUUGGUAUAUUAUUUUAAAACUAAAGUUAAGAACCACUACCUUUGAUAGAUUUUGCUUCAUAUAAAAGCUAUAUUAGUGUUCUAUGUUUUUACUAUUAAGAAAAAUGACUAUAAAUUUCACAAUAUAAAUAUUUAGUAGUAUUUGUUUCAUAACUAAUAUUAAUUAUGAUUUGAAUUAUUGCAUUUGAAGUUUGAAGUCUUGAUUUUUAUGCAUGGUUCUUCGCUCCUGAACACAUAUCCUCCAAAUACAAUGACUCUCUUUAAUUUUGGGGGGUGGAUUUUCCUCUCAUUUUCCAUGAUGAUAUUGAUUUAUGCAUCCAUAAAGUGUCCCUAAAUAACUUAUCUCUAAAUUAACAUCAACUCCCUUAAAAAGUGUACAUACCUAUUGCCCCUAAAAUGUACCACCUGACAUUGCCCAUGUGCUUUUCUUUCUGUGAGGCACAUACAUCUAUUCCUAACAUUUAACUGAUAUGUAUUAUUACCUAAUAGCAAAUUACUUAACUUAGAGUUUAUUGUUAUGAGAAUCCUUUCAAAGUUUUUCUCUUUACACAGAAGUCUAAGUUGUUCCACAACAUAUGAAGGCUCAUUGUUUGACUUCUUAUAACAGAUUUAUGUGUAAUAUUAUAAUAAACCACCUAUAUUUACUUUCCAAAUAAAAACCAGGUAUUCCAAUGUAUAUUACCUCUUUCUUAACAUGUAUAAUCAAAAUAUAAUUGAUAUCCAUGUAAUAAUAGAUAUUCCAACAUAACUGAGACAUUUUAUAUUUCCUUUUGGCUCAAAUAAAAAACAAUGCCUUGGGAUGGAAGUCAGGAAAUGAACAUUUCAGUACCGCAUAUUGACCUCCUACAGUACAUAGAAUGUGUGGGAGCUUCUCAACUUCUCUGUGCUCAUACUGCUAAUGGAAACAG